AGCUAAAUCUUUGUCUACUGUGAUGAGCAGAUUGGAAUUUUUAUCCAAACAAAGGGGGUUGAAAUCUCACAUAAGCCCCAAUGGGACAGCUUGCUAUUUAACAUCAGACAUGUUCUAUGUAGAAGUUCAGUUGGAGAAAGAUGGAAAGGUGAUAGAUGUAAAAUUGGCUCACCCUGGAGAAGCUCCUGUGGUUUGUGAUGACCUAGUGCAGCUUCUAAGGUAUAGACUUGCUUAGAAUUCCUUGGCUGAUUAAAGGGAAUUAUUUAAUAGUCCUGAACCUAUUUUGAAAAUAAUGUCUGAAACAUUUAAGUUAGCAUUGUAUUUUAAAGGGAAUAGUACAAGAGUUUUCUCUUCUAAAUAUCCUAAUAUCAGGAAGCUACAUAUUGCUGAAAACUUGAUUUUUUUUUAAAAAUAAUUUUAUAUUUUUAAGUAUGAAACCAGAAA